rnacentral:rRNA from 1 species
AUGAACGCUGGCGGCAUGCCUAACACAUGCAAGUCGAUCGGUAAGGCUCUUCGGAGUACCCGAGAGGCGGCCGGCUGAGUAACGCGUAGGAACACACCCUGCAGUGAGGGAUAAGACACCGAAAGGUGUUCUAAUACCGCAUACGGUCUUCGGAUUAAAGCAUUUAUGCGCUGAAGGAGUGGCCUGCGUCAUAUUAGAUAGUUGGUGAGGUAAUGGCUCACCAAGUCGAUGAUGUGUAGCUGGUCUGAGAGGAUGAUCAGCCAGACUGGAACUGAGACACGGUCCAGACUCCUACGGGAGGCAGCAGUGAGGAAUAUUUCACAAUGAGCGAAAGCGUGAUGGAGCAAUGCCGCGUGCAGGAUGAAGGCCCUCGGGUUGUAAACUGCUUUUAUAAGAGAAGAUUAUGACGGUAACUUAUGAAUAAGGGACGGCUAACUACGUG